rnacentral:tRNA from 1 species
ACUGCAGUGGUCAAGGGGUUACGAUACGGUCCUCCCAUCGACAAAAGUCAUCAAGUGGGUGUUAGACCGUGACCUGGGUUCGAGUCCCAGCUGCAGUA